rnacentral:lncRNA from 1 species
AUUCUCAGGAUGAUGGAGUGAGUGAUGGAAUAGGUUGCCAACUGUAGUUACUCCACUCAGCACAGAAUGGCUGCGGGGAAAUAUAAUCAGACAUGCCCAAAGAAGUCUGCUUAGGGUGAAACAAAUAACUUUGAGGUUUAAAUCAGAAAGGAAGGAGAGACUGUUUCUACAGGUGUCAUACAAAAAUCAAUACUGAGCCAAGGAUUAUUGGAUCCCAUAGAACCACGGAGACUUGGCAGUGAAAUUCUUCCAAAGGCAGAUGGUGUUCCUAGGUUUGGAAAUAUAAAUCCCAUGGGAAGUCAGCUGAAGACCAUUUUAUGCAUCACUCAUCCUGUUAGAGCCCUGUGCUGUUCUGUCUCUCUAUAAGACUGGCUGAAACCACAACGGUUGUUUACAAUUUAUGCUCUAACUUUGGAUCACCUAGUUAAUACUCUGACUCCGAUUAUUACCAAAGACGAUGUUCUAUAAAAGAUAUUCUCUAUUAGAAGGAUGCUCCUGCAUUAUUAAUAAAAUCACAGGGAAAAUGCAACAUUUUGGAUGUCACAUCUGAUAAGUUGGCAGUUAAAGAACAGAAACACAGCAAUAAGACUGCGUGGCUACAUUUUCCCAGUGCCACCAACUGGGAUUUAAGCUGACUAACAUUUUGAAAGCCCAGCCCAUUUCAUUCACAGCAGGAUGGCAGUGGGUGACUGAUCGUACCCGCCAGCUGGCUAAUGUCAUAAUUAACAAAGUUGCUACUACAUCUGCAAAGUUUAAUCGAAAAAUUUGCCAGUGAUAUGAUGGCAUUGUCACAGAGAUCACAAGGGACACGGAGUCGACUUUUGCUCAAGGUGGAACGACAGAGCUGUGUAGGCAAGAUGAGAAAUUGUGAACUUGUUCGGCCAAAGGAGGCUAAUAAUGAAGGGGCCGGGAAGGAGGCCAGUGCUACCAGGGUUAUCUCACAACCUCAGAUGCUGGAUAAGUCGACGGAGGCAGAAUCGCUUUGGGAUGACAUUCAGAAAGGCUGGAGUGAUUACUUGCAAGAGAAAAGCCUACCUAUUCUUUCCAAG